GAUGAACGCUGGCGGCGUGCCUAAUACAUGCAAGUCGAGCGAACGGACGAGAAGCUUGCUUCUCUGAUGUUAGCGGCGGACGGGUGAGUAACACGUGGAUAACCUACCUAUAAGACUGGGAUAACUUCGGGAAACCGGAGCUAAUACCGGAUAAUAUUUUGAACCGCAUGGUUCAAAAGUGAAAGACGGUCUUGCUGUCACUUAUAGAUGGAUCCGCGCUGCAUUAGCUAGUUGUUAAGGUAACGGCUUACCAAGGCAACGAUGCAUAGCCGACCUGAGAGGGUGAUCGGCCACACUGGAACUGAGACACGGUCCAGACGCCGACGGGAGGCAGCAGUAGGGAAUCUUCCGCAAUGAGCGAAAGCCUGACGGAGCAACGCCGCGUGAGUGAGGAAGUUCUUCGGAUCGUAAAACUCUGUUAUUAGGGAAGAACAUAUGUGUAAGUAACUGUGCACAUCUUGACGGUACCUAAUCAGAAAGCCACGGCUAACUACGUG
rnacentral:rRNA from 1 species